rnacentral:rRNA from 1 species
AUUGCCCCAGUAGCGGCGAGUGAAGCGGCAAAGCUCAGAUUUGGAAUCGCUUCGGCGAGUUGUGAAUUGCAGGGUGGCGCCUCUGCGGCGGCGGCGGUCCAAGUCCCUUGGAACAGGGCGCCAUUGAGGGUGAGAGCCCCGUGGGACCGUUUGCCUAUGCUCUGAGGCCCUUCUGACGAGUCGAGUUGUUUGGGAAUGCAGCUCUAAGCGGGUGGUAAAUUCCAUCUAAGGCUAAAUACUGGCGAGAGACCGAUAGCGAACAAGUACUGUGAAGGAAAGAUGAAAAGCACUUUGAAAAGAGAGUGAAACAGCACGUGAAAUUGUUGAAAGGGAAGGGUAUUGCGCCCGACAUGGAGCGUGCGCACCGCUGCCCCUCGUGGGCGGCGCUCUGGGCGUGCUCUGGGCCAGCAUCGGUUUUUGCCGCGGGAGAAGGGCGGCGGGCAUGUAGCUCUUCGGAGUGUUAUAGCCUGCCGCCGGCGCCGCGAGCGGGGACCGAGGACUGCGACUUUUGUCUCGGAUGCUGGCACAACGGCGCAACACCGCCCGUCUUGAACCACGGACCU